GUUAUUCAGCCUUCAGAUGGAAGGGACAGCCUUGAAGAUGCAUAAAUAAGCUAGAAAAUGUUUCUUCAGUAGAAAUUUCAGUAGAAACUUGGUAAAAUGAUCUCUUUACAACUUCCAUGAUUUUAUUCUCCAGGACAAUAUGGCAGGAUGCUGAGGACCAAAGCAGCUACAGGACUGACCUGCCCAAAACCACACAGUGAGUCUGCAGCCCGGCUUCGGACCAGAGUUUCUUCUGACAAGAGUCUCCAGACCAGUGCCAAGGAGCCAAAGAGAAGAAAUGAGAAUAACCAAGGUUUAUGAAACCUAUAUAAAAACCUGUG
rnacentral:lncRNA from 1 species